UUGAUCCUGGCUCAGGACGAACGCUGGCGGCGCGCCUAACACAUGCAAGUCGAACGAGAGAUGAGGAGCUUGCUCUUCAAAUCGAGUGGCGAACGGGUGAGUAACGCGUGAGGAACCUGCCUCAAAGAGGGGGACAACAGUCGGAAACGACUGCUAAUACCGCAUAAGCCCACGGCUCGGCAUCGAGCAGAGGGAAAAGGAGUGAUCCGCUUUGAGAUGGCCUCGCGUCCGAUUAGCUGGUUGGUGAGGUAACGGCCCACCAAGGCGACGAUCGGUAGCCGGACUGAGAGGUUGAACGGCCACAUUGGGACUGAGACACGGCCCAGACUCCUACGGGAGGCAGCAGUGGGGAAUAUUGCACAAUGGGGGAAACCCUGAUGCAGCGACGCCGCGUGGAGGAAGAAGGUCUUCGGAUUGUAAACUCCUGUUGUUGAGGAAGAUAAUGACGGUACUCAACAAGGAAGUGACGGCUAACUACGUGCCAGCAGCCGCGGUAAAACGUAGGUCACAAGCGUUGUCCGGAAUUACUGGGUGUAAAGGGAGCGCAGGCGGGAGAACAAGUUGGAAGUGAAAUCCAUGGGCUCAACCCAUGAACUGCUUUCAAAACUGUUUUUCUUGAGUAGUGCAGAGGUAGGCGGAAUUCCCGGUGUAGCGGUGGAAUGCGUAGAUAUCGGGAGGAACACCAGUGGCGAAGGCGGCCUACUGGGCACCAACUGACGCUGAGGCUCGAAAGUGUGGGUAGCAACAGGAUUAGAUACNCUGGUAGUCCACACCGUAAACGAUGAUUACUAGGUGUUGGAGGAUUGACCCCUUCAGUGUCGCAGUUAACACAAUAAGUAAUCCACCUGGGGAGUACGACCGCAAGGUUGAAACUCAAAGGAAUUGACGGGGGCCCGCACAAGCAGUGGAGUAUGUGGUUUAAUUCGACGCAACGCGAAGAACCUUACCAAGUCUUGACAUCCCUUGACGAACAUAGAAAUAUGUUUUCUCUUCGGAGCAAGGAGACAGGUGGUGCAUGGUUGUCGUCAGCUCGUGUCGUGAGAUGUUGGGUUAAGUCCCGCAACGAGCGCAACCCUUAUGGUCAGUUACUACGCAAGAGGACUCUGGCCAGACUGCCGUUGACAAAACGGAGGAAGGUGGGGAUGACGUCAAAUCAUCAUGCCCUUUAUGACUUGGGCUACACACGUACUACAAUGGCGUUAAACAAAGAGAAGCAAGACCGCGAGGUGGAGCAAAACUCAGAAACAACGUCCCAGUUCGGACUGCAGGCUGCAACUCGCCUGCACGAAGUCGGAAUUGCUAGUAAUCGUGGAUCAGCAUGCCACGGUGAAUACGUUCNCCGGGCCUUGUACACACCGCCCGUC
rnacentral:rRNA from 1 species